GACGAACGCUGGCGGCGUGCCUAAUACAUGCAAGUUGAGCGAUGAAGAUUGGUGCGUGCACCAAUUUGAAGAGCAGCGAACGGGUGAGUAACGCGUGGGGAAUCUGCCUUUGAGCGGGGGACAACAGUUGGAAACGAAUGCUAAUACCGCAUAACAACUUUAGACAUAAGUUUUAAGUUUGAAAGAUGCAAUUGCAUCACUCAAAGAUGAUCCCGCGUGGUAUUAGCUAGUUGGUGAGGUAAAGGCUCACCAAGGCGAUGAUACAUAGCCGACCUGAGAGGGUGAUCGGCCACAUUGGGACUGAGACACGGCCCAAACUCCUACGGGAGGCAGCAGUAGGGAAUCUUCGGCAAUGGACGAAAGUCUGACCGAGCAACGCCGCGUGAGUGAAGAAGGUUUUCGGAUCGUAAAACUCUGUUGGUAGAGAAGAACGUUGGUGAGAGUGGAAAGCUCAUCAAGUGACGGUAACUACACAGAAAGGGACGGCUAACUACGUG
rnacentral:rRNA from 1 species